rnacentral:rRNA from 1 species
GAUGAACGCUGGCGGCGUGCCUAAUACAUGCAAGUCGAGCGCAGCGGGGACGGGUGAGUACCACGUAGAUAACCUCCUAUAAGAAUGGGAUAACUUCGGGAAACCGGCGCUAAACCGGAUACUCUUAGAUGGAUCCGCGUUGCAUUAGCUAGUUGGUAAGGUAACGGCUUACCAAGGCCACGAUGCAUAGCCGACCUGAGAGGGGUGUCACCCCCACUGGAACUGAGACACGGUGCAGCCUCGUCCAUGAAUCACCAUUAUCUAAUCUUCCGCAAUUGACGAAAGCCUGACAGAGCAACGCCGCGUGAGUGAUGAAUAUCUUCGGAUCUUAAAACUCUGUUAUUAGGGAAGCGGUACCUAAUCAGAAAGCCACGGCUAACUACGUGCCAGCAGCCGCGGUAAUAC